rnacentral:rRNA from 1 species
AUUGAACGCUGGCGGCAGGCCUAACCCAUGCAAGUCGAACGAGUGGCGGACGGGUGAGUAAUGUCUGGGAAACUGCCCGUUGGAGGGGGAUAACUACUGGAAACGGUCGCUAAUACCGCAUACCCUCGGCAGUGCCCAGAUGGGAUUAGCGAGUGGGGGGGGUAAUGGCUCACCUAGGCGACGAUCCCUAGCUGGUCUGAGCGGAGGACCAGCCACACUGGAACUGGGACACGGUCCAGACUCCUACGGGAGGAAGCAGUGGGGAAUAUUGCACAAUGGGCGCAAGCCUGAUGCAGCAAUGCGGCGUGUAUGAAGAAGGCCUUCGGGUUGUAAAGUACUUUCAGCGAGGAGGCGUUACUCGCAGAAGAAGCACCGGCUAACUCCGUGCCAGCAGCCGCGGUAAUUC